rnacentral:tRNA from 1 species
GCCUGGAUAGCUCAGCUGGUUAGAGCGUGGUGCUGAUAAUGCAAAGGUUGCAGGUUCGAUCCCUGUAUGGGGCA